rnacentral:rRNA from 1 species
UACGUAGGGUGCAAGCGUUGUCCGGAAUUAUUGGGCGUAAAGAGCUUGUAGGCGGUUUGUCGCGUCUGCUGUGAAAUUUCGGGGCUCAACCCCGAACUUGCAGUGGGUACGGGCAGACUAGAGUGUGGUAGGGGAGACUGGAAUUCCUGGUGUAGCGGUGAAAUGCGCAGAUAUCAGGAGGAACACCCGAGUGGCGAAGGCGGCUCUCUGGGACGGUACUGACGCUGAGACGCGAAAGCGUGGGGAGCGAACAGG